AGUCUGNAACCCGACUACACGAAGCUGGAAUCGCUAGUAAUCGCGAAUCAGAAUGUCGCGGUGAAUACGUUCCCGGGUCUUGUACACACCGCCCGUCACACCAUGGGAGUCGGGAAUGCCCGAAGUCAGUGACCCAACCUUUGGAGGGAGCUGCCGAAGACAGGUCUGAUAACUGGGGUGAAGUCGUAACAAGGUACC
rnacentral:rRNA from 1 species